AAGAUACUGCUUCAUGAAUGCCAAUUAGUCCCAUUAGAAUAGUUAAAAGGCCUGUUGAGAUGUAUUUACUGUGAGUUGCAUAGAGUCUCAAAGAUCUGGAGCCAACAGGGGCUGAGUCAGAAACUGAACAUUGUGAGAAAAGAGCUGUAAUAAUGUGGAGCCGAAAGAAGUUUCUUGUCACAUGAUAGUCAUGAAGUAGAGAGAGAAACAUCACAACUAGAGACACAGAGAGAGACACGGAGAGAGACACGGAGGUAGACUGGGAGACCCGGAGAGAGACACGGAGGGAGACUGGGAGACCCGGAGAGAGACACGGAGGGAGACUGGGAGACCCGGAGAGAGACACGGAGGGAGACACGGAGAGAGACACGGAGGGAGACUGGGAGACACGGAGGUAGACUGGAAGACACGGAGGUAGACUGGGAGACACGGAGGUAGACUGGGAGACACGGAGAGAGACACGGAGGGAGACUGGGAGACCCGGAGAGAGACACGGAGGGAGACACUGGGAGACACGGAGGUAGACUGGGAGACACGGAGGUAGACUGGGAGACACGGAGGUAGACUGGGAGACACGGAGAGAGACACGGAGGUAGACUGGGAGACCCGGAGAGAGACACGGAGGUAGACUGGGAGACCCGGAGAGAGACACGGAGGUAGACUGGGAGACACGGAGGUAGACUGGGAGACCCGGAGAGAGACACGGAGGGAGACUGGGAGACCCGGAGAGAGACACGGAGGUAGACUGGGAGACCCGGAGAGAGACACGGAGGUAGACUGGGAGACCCGGAGAGAGACACGGAGGUAGACUGGGAGACCCGGAGAGAGACACGGAGGGAGACUGGGAGACACGGAGAGAGACACGGAGGUAGACUGGGAGACACGGAGAGA